UACAUAUUAGUAUAUGAUGUACAUAAAUUUUUGGAGUUUAUGGGGAUAGUUUAAUUCUAUUAUAUGUAA
rnacentral:tRNA from 1 species